rnacentral:rRNA from 1 species
GAUGAAAGCUGGCGGCGUGCCUAAUACAUGCAAGUCGAGCGAACAGACGAGGAGCUUGCUCCUCUGACGUUAGCGGCGGACGGGUGAGUAACACGUGGAUAACCUACCUAUAAGACUGGGAUAACUUCGGGAAACCGGAGCUAAUACCGGAUAAUAUAUUGAACCGCAUGGUUCAAUAGUGAAAGACGGUUUUGCUGUCACUUAUAGAUGGAUCCGCGCCGCAUUAGCUAGUUGGUAAGGUAACGGCUUACCAAGGCAACGAUGCGUAGCCGACCUGAGAGGGUGAUCGGCCACACUGGAACUGAGACACGGUCCAGACUCCUACGGGAGGCAGCAGUAGGGAAUCUUCCGCAAUGGGCGAAAGCCUGACGGAGCAACGCCGCGUGAGUGAUGAAGGUCUUCGGAUCGUAAAACUCUGUUAUUAGGGAAGAACAAAUGUGUAAGUAACUAUGCACGUCUUGACGGUACCUAAUCAGAAAGCCACGGCUAACUACGUG